UCCUCUUACUCCGGGGUUCAGGCUUCUGCGCCCCUGGUCCGCGGUCGCGCGCAGCCCCCGCGCCUCUCCAGCCCUGAGCUCUCUGCGGCCUAAUGUGGACGGGCAAGCGUUGCCAUGACAGCGCCGCGGGUGGGGAUGCGGGAGGCUGAGCGCACCGGCCAGCUAGCCCCUUUGUGCGGCGGGGGCUGCGGAGUGCUCCCUCCAAGACCGGUUGCACCCCGCUUUCCUGGCCAGGACUCUGGGCGCGGCAGCUACAAAGACGACGCCGGCUGCGCUCGCGGGACCAGAGGGAGGGAGGCUGCGGACGAGUGCGGGGAGGAGUUUGAGAUGGGAGGCGCUUGCAGGGGCUCCCCCAGUUCUGCGCUGUGAGCCGGGGCACAAAGAGCCCUCUGCACUAGCGCCGCAGGACCGCGGACCCGAGUUGGAGGCAUCUGUCCACCCAUGUGGUUCCAGACACGUUCAUGUGGCCACCAUGACCCCGUCGGCAUCACAGGGGUAACCAAGGUGAUCCUCCCUCUCUUCCUGUGUCCACUGGGGAUGGUAGAGACCAGCUUAAUGCUUUGAGAUCAGAUCCAUCACGAAAUCCGUAUGUCCUGAGACCUCCUGAAUCUUAAGGUCCACAGAACGAGGGGAAAGGGUCACUGUGGAUCAAGCCAGGCUCCUCUGAGCAGUCCAGGGUCUAUUUACAGAGAGCAGCAAGUUCCUGGGACAGAGGAGACAGAAGGGAAUUUCCAGGUUCUUCAGGACGUUCACAACCACACUGAGAAGCAUCUUUGCAGAUAAGUAUUUAAACUUACCAGCCCAUAGCCUACCAGCCUGCCCUCUUCUGGUCUGUGCAGGAAAGUGUAGUAUCCUAGAAUGCCAAAGUGGGAGGGGAAAUGGGUGAUGUAGCUCAUUCUCUUUUCUACCUCUAUGGAAGAAAGAAAGAGCCUGUCCCCAUUUUGUGGGGUCCCAGAAAGGGUGAUUUUCACACUUCACAUUUGGCGUUAGGGCUAGUAUUUCACAAACAUUACCGUCUGGAACUUUUGAAGGCUGAGUUAAAUGACUUCAUCUUGUGUACUUGUAGAACUGCUAUUAGAAGGAGGCUGGGGACUCCCUGAUGAUGUGAACCAGCCCUUCUCUUCUCAGUUUCAGCACUUUGUGAUCAUAUUUAUAAACCUUGGACAGGGCUCCUUGGCCUUAGAGUUAAGUGAAGAGUUAACACUGUGACUUUAGAUGCAUUUUUCUCAGUGUAAGUGUCUGAGCUCAUCUCCAGUUCUGGACUCGUGCCCCCACUCCCGGGUGCUGACAGCAAGCUCUGAAGAUAUGCUGAGAGAGCUCCCUGACUCUCCUGACUCAGGUCUGCCAGUUGAUGAAGACAGCACAGUUGUUACCAAAAACAAAACCUGGCAGAUGGUCCUAGGUCAGGAUUAGUGGUCAUUCUCUGGUCUUCUCCAGACUGGUGACACAGGGUGGUCUUAAAAGAGUCCUAGUCCAGCCUCUGGCUCCCCGAAUUUCCUCUGGUGCAUGGGGCAUCAGGAAAGGGCAGGGGAGAAGGAGGGGGAGCAGAAAAAUAACUGAGGCUGGGCAGAAGGGUCCCUUCCAUUUCCCAUCCAUUGCUUCAAACAAUGGGUGAUUACCGUGCACCUUGAGUGAAUGUCAAGGCAGGAAGGGUUCCAGGGCCACCCAGUGUGGCAGGAGCAGAGCUGGGAUCAGAAUUCUGGAUUCCUGACUCUCCGUUCAGCUGCUAUUCAGCUAUCACCAAGCUGCUGAGUUUGUCCUACUUUCUCCUGGGUCACAUUCUGCUGUUGUUGGGAAACAGGGAGUGAGUGAAGGGAACCUGGGAACCCUUCUCCCCUCACCUUUUAAGGAUGUUCUGGGGUGGAAUAAAGAGAGGUGGAGGGUGGGGUGCCUGGGCCCAGCCUCCCUGGCUCCUGGUCCUUCUUUCUUCAGCAGGGAGUUCUGGCAAGGCCUGGGCCUGGGGAGGGGGCCUGGGUGCAGUUUUCUCCUGCGGUGUGGUUGGCUCUUUUGUCUUCCAGGAUGGGCCUGUGGGGUCUGUGUGGGGAAGGAAGGAGCUGGGAGCCUGGGCUGCCUGUGUGUCGGCUGGAUGCUGCCAGCACCGGCAUGGACCAAGCAACUUCUCUGAGCCAGAUGCUGGGGACGCAGAGGUGAACCCAGAGACAUGAUCCCAUCUGCUCAGAUCUUCAUGUCAGAACACGCUUUAUUACAGUCUCGGCAAGGGGGUGGCUCCAUCUGGGCCGCAUCUCCAGGACUCCUGGCCUGGACUUCUCUUUGGACCUCGGGUGACCUUGGAUUCUGGCCACAGUGACUUAGCGGUCAGACUCCGGUGGUUUUCUAGCCCGCUGGGUGACUCCCUGAAGAUCUCAUCCUCUUCACACCUGUUGGGAUGGAGCCUCCCAUGGAUAGGAACUCUUCCUGGUUGAUGCUCAGCAGAUGACUGAUCUGGCUCUGGAGGACAGCUCCAGGGAAUGCGGAGUGGUGUGUACUAUUCAUCAGCUUGGGCUGCCACAGCACCAUGCCAGACUGGAUGGCUUAAACAUCAGGAAUUUAUUUUCUGCCAGUUCUGGAGGCUGGAAAGUCCAGAUCAAGGUGUUAAGACUUGGUUUCUGGUGAGGCCUCUCUCCUUGGCUUGCAGGUGGCACCUUCUCACUAUGUCCUCACAUGGCCUUUUCUCUGUGGAGAGGGACAGAGAGCAUGAGCAGGCUCUGGUGUCUCCUCCUCUUCUUAUAAAGACACUAAUAUCACCAUAUUAGGGCUUAAACCUAUGACCUCAUUUAACCUUAACCCCUUAAAGGUCCCAUCUCCAAAAACAGUCACAUAGCAGGCUACUGCUUCAACAUAUGCAUUUGGGGGAGGGGACACCAUUCAGUUCUUAACAGGGUGGUCACCGCAAACAUGGAAAGUCAGAGCCUUCUCCCCUUCAGAAUUCCCGCCCCCACCCAGGGAUGGGGAGGAGGAGCAGAGAGGUAUGGGAAGCAGACACGGAGAGUGGCAGGUACCAUGCUGGGGUGGCUCAGGAGUGCUUCGGAGGACAUAUGGAACUGGCAGGGCUCAGUGCAGGGAGGCGGAGGCCCUGGGAGAGCCGUGUCCUGAGAAGGGCCUGGGCUACAACCCUGGGCAAGUUACUUCACCUCUGAGCCUCCGAUGCUCUGUGAAAUGGAAGGAAUGUGCUUGCCUGUCAGGUGCAGGGAGAAUUCAGUGAGAUUGUGUGCCUAGCACAGUGCCUGACUCCCAGUAGGUGCUCAGCAAAUGCUCCCAUCCAUCUGGGAGUAUAGACUUAGGGUUUAUCUAUUUUUUUUUUUUUUUGGCUCUCUGGACUUUAAAACUCAGCAUCUUCUGAACCAGAGGCAUUUCUGAUUAGCCCUUCCCUACCUAUUUUCCUAGUAUCACUCUUUAAUCAGCUUGGGGAGGUGGCAGCAUUUCAUGGCCUCCGUAGUAACUCACAAUGCUUCCUGGGGUAUUUAAAUUCUACUCUCUCAUCAGCACUGAGCACCUACUUUGGGCCCUUUCCCGUGCUAGCCAUUUGGGGGAAAUAUAGGUGAAGAGUGGCUGGGGUUUGAACCUUUAGGAUUUCACAGCCAUGCUGGAUGGGAUAAAACCAGCUCACAUGGAGAAUCAGAGAAUGGGACAGUGCCACAAAACAGUCUACUGAGGCACAAGUUCUGAGUGCCUGGGAAGUGGUAGAGAGACCCCAGAGAGGGCUGCUGCAGUCUGGAACAGCUUCCUAGCAAGCUGUACCAAACAGGGCCUUGAAGGAUGAGAAAGAUCUGGCUGAGAUGAUACCCGACCCUCUAGGGAAAUUCUUAAAGUAACUUCUAGGAAAUGUCAUUGCUCCUUAAAAAAAAAAAAAAAAAAAAAAAAGCAGGUUCUAAUUCAAAUUCCGCUGCACUACUGAAGUAGUGCAGGACUUAUCAGAACCUUUAAAAUGCUAAUGGCAAUUUCAAAUACUCAGGGACAGGGCAUAGGAUGAAGUGUUCCUUGACUUUUAUGGCCGUAGAAUCUUUUUCUCAUGGAACAUCGUUUAGAACUGUGGGAGAUGCUAGGCUGGGGUUUCUAUGGGAAAAGUACAGCAGUGAUAGAAGAUGGCAUAAUUAGGGUACACUUAGGUGCUUUGUAGCAUUGGCUGAAAAGGAAGCAGACCGGGUGGGCGUGGGGGAGUCUCAACUUGGUUCCAGGAGCCAGGCCAGCUUGAUGCGUUUUUUUUUUUUCUAAUGGUGGGAGGGCAGGCCAAUAGUUGGAGAAACUAGAGGCCUGACAGUCGGUGAUGGAAGAGAUGUCUACUAAGCACGGUUGUCAGAUCUUUUGCGGAGAGAUGCGGGUGUGCGUGUGUCUGUCAGAGUGUAACAGGAUCCAGCCCUCUGGGAAGGGGCUGACCAGAACCAGGCAGGGGGUUUCUGUCUAGGACAAGUAGGGUCCAUUUUCAGGGGAGCUGAAAUAUUUGCAGGGGGUGCUCUGAGACCCACAGCCAAUAAAUAGGGAAGCAACAUGCUUUUGGGCAGGGUCCAUGUGGUUAGGGUUGAUUUUGAUGGGGCUGGGGGGCUUAGAGUUAGACCCCCUGCCCUGGUCAGGCCCCACUCCCUGGCUGGUGGGGGCGGGAGGCCUCUGAAGCUGCAGCUGGAGGGGCCGGGGCAGUGUUGCAUGGUGUGAUUAACCUACUAACCCAGGGCUCAGCCGGGACGCUGUGGCGUGUGACGAGGUGCCUGGCCUUCUGCCAACCAACUAACCCACUAACCAGGCCCGAGCAUGCCCUACUAACCACCCCCCCGCAGCCAGAUCCUACUAACUGUGCAGCUCAUGGGCCUUUCAAGGGGCUGGGAUAUGGGGGCAGCCAAGGCUCCAGAAGGCUCUGCCUAUGGGCUGGGAUCUUUGUGCAGACCCACGUUCCAGGACAGAGAAUGCAAAUAAGACUCACCAACUCUGCCACUUCCUGUUGAGUGAGUUUGAGUAAGUCACCUCACUUCUCUCAACCUCAGUUUCCUCAGUGGUAGAAUGCGAGUUCUGAUACCUUACAGGAAGGCCCCUCAAACCUGGUUGAA
rnacentral:lncRNA from 10 species